GACAGAGGGUGCAAACGUUGUUCGGAACUACUGGGCGUAAAGCGCACGCAGGCGGUCUGUCAAGUCGGAUGUGAAAUCCCCGGGCUCAACCUGGGAACUGCAUUCGAAACUGGCAGGCUAGAGUCUUGUAGAGGGGGGUAGAAUUCCAGGUGUAGCGGUGAAAUGCGUAGAGAUCUGGAGGAAUACCGGUGGCGAAGGCGGCCCCCUGGACAAAGACUGACGCUCAGGUGCGAAAGCGUGGGGAGCAAACAGG
rnacentral:rRNA from 1 species